rnacentral:tRNA from 1 species
GGCUCAGAUGGUAAAGCAUCUGCCUACAAUGCAGGAGACCCAGGUUCUAUCCCUGG